GGGAGGAAAGGACAGAAAGGAAUUUGUGGACCACCUGGCCCAGGGGUGAGUAUUGCUGCAUAUUUAUUUGAAUUUAUUAGUCCUAAUAACUUCUGAACUAACAUAGCAAGCCCUGAUACAGUAUGUGACCUGUGUUGCGCAUUAAUGUGGUUUUACAUUCAUUUUUGUGUUUCUCAGGGUUUUGAAGGGCAUCCAGCAGAAAAAGGAGAGAAAGGCAUAAUUGGUUUACCUGGUCUCAGAGGCCCGCCUGGAUAUCCAGGAAGAAAUGGCUUUCCAGGAUAUAAGGUACACAUUUUAAUCAUUUAUAAUUUACUAUUAAUAAGGAUUUAUUUAUUUUAAAAUGAUAGGUUUGUUGAAUUAUACUGUUGGUCACUUCUGAUGUUAUGUUUUUACAUAUACAGGGGGCACUAGGGGAAAAUGGUCUCCCUGGUCUAUUUGGCAACCCAGGGCCAAAGGUCAGGCACACAUUCUGAUUAGACAUUGUAUAAAAAAAAAAAAGAUUUUGUAAGAGUCAUCUACUUGCAGUAUAUUGUCAUUUGUUUGCUGACACUGCUGCUGUGAAUGUGUAACAGGGCUACCCAGGAGACCCCGGACCUAAAGGAAACCCAAAAUACCAUUACAACAAUAUGAUGGGAGUACCUGGAGACCGCGGGAUUCCUGGUGCAGCUGGACCUCCUGGUGAUAGAGGGCCGACGGGUAUACCUGGAGUCCCUGGUUAUCCAGGAGCAUCUAUAAAAGGUCUGAAAUAUCUUAAAUGUAAUUUUUGUAUUGUAUUUAUAUACUUAGAUGUCUUGGUGUGUAUUUUUCUUUUUUCUCUUUCUAACUCUGCUCUGCUUUUAGGUCCAGUGGGUGAAUCUGGUUUGCAGGGUUUUAAUGGACCUAAAGGAGAAAAAGGUGACCCAGGAAAAAUAUACGGGGCAUACUUAAACUAUGGUAAUGUUUCAGAUUUUUUAUGUUUGCUUAACAAAAUAUUUUUAAUAUGCAUUUUCCUACACAUUAUAAUGACUUGAAAGAGUUGUUGUAUUAUUUGUGUGACUUAAUUGUUAGGGGCAAUCGUAGAAAGCUGGAUUUUUUUCUCAUUUUGAACUGAAGGUGCAAUUUCUACACCGGUUUUUGCUUAAAGCAUAUGUAUGAAAUGAUGUACGUUUAUAUUUGUAGUCAUUAGUGGGAUUUGAGGGAUUCAAAAUUUGUAAGUAGUGUAUUUAUUCAUAAUCUUAUUCAGAGAUCUGCUGUUUUCUCCAAAACACAAUAAGUACUGCGUAGACUGGAAAAUAAUAAAAAAUCUUCAAUACCUGAAGUGGGGAAAUGU
ensembl:lncRNA